rnacentral:rRNA from 1 species
CAGCACCUCAAGUGGUCAGGAUGAUUAUUGGGCCUAAAGCAUCCGUAGCCGGCGCUGUAAGUUUUCGGUUAAAUCUGUACGCUCAACGUACAGGCUGCCGGGAAUACUGCAGCGCUAGGGAGUGGGAGAGGUAGACGGUACUCGGUAGGAAGGGGUAACAUCCUUUGAUCUAUUGAUGACCACCUGUGGCGAAGGCGGUCUACCAGAACACGUCCGACGGUGAGGGAUGAAAGCUGGGGGAGCAAACCGGAUUAGAUACCCGCGUAGUCC